rnacentral:rRNA from 1 species
GAAGCGGCAACAGCUCAAAUUUGAAAUCUGGCUCCUUCCGGGGUCCGAGUUGUAAUUUGUAGAGGGUGCUUUGGCGUCGGCCAUGGUCUAAGUUCCUUGGAACAGGGCGUCACAGAGGGUGAGAAUCCCGUACGUGGCCGCUGGCCUUCGCCAUGUAAAGCCCCUUCGACGAGUCGAGUUGUUUGGGAAUGCAGCUCUAAAUGGGAGGUAAAUUUCUUCUAAAGCUAAAUAUUGGCCAGAGACCGAUAGCGCACAAGUAGAGUGAUCGAAAGAUGAAAAGCACUUUGGAAAGAGAGUCAAAAAGCACGUGAAAUUGUUGAAAGGGAAGCGCUUGCAGCCAGACUUGCCCGUAGUUGCUCAUCCGGGUUUCGGCCCGGUGCACUCUUCUGCGGGCAGGCCAGCAUCAGUUCAGGCGGUCGGAUAAAGGUCCCGGGAAUGUGGCUCUCUUCGGGGAGUGUUAUAGCCCGGGGCGCAAUGCGGCCAGCUUGGACUGAGGUCCGCGCAUCUGCUAGGAUGCUGGCGUAAUGGCUGUAAGCGGCCCGUCUUGAAACACGGACCAAGGAGUCUAACAUCUAUGCGAGUGUUUGGGUGUCAAGCCCGAGCGCGUAAUGAAAGUGAACGGAGGUGGGAACCCGCAAGGGCGCACCAUCGACCGAUCCUGAUGUCUUCGGAUGGAUUUGAGUAAGAGCAUAGCUGUUGGGACCCGAAAGAUGGUGAACUAUGCCUGAAUAGGGUGAAGCCAGAGGAAACUCUGGUGGAGGCUCGCAGCGGUUCUGACGUGCAAAUCGAUCGUCAAAUUUGGGCAUAGGGGCGAAAGACUAAUCG